CAGCUCAGUGGUAGAGCAUCUGUUUUGCAUGCGGCAGGUCCCAGGUUCAAUCCCUGGCAA
rnacentral:tRNA from 1 species